AUGGAAAAAUUGAAAGAAUCCUUCAAUCAAGAGCGUGUUGUAUGGGAAACCGAAAAAGCCGGUUUGACCAAAAGAGCCGUAGAUGCCGAGGACGCCCUGAAACCGGUGGCUGAAGAACUAGCCAGUUUGAAGCGCCAAAUCAACGCUAUGACCUCUGCUAUCUUUGGAACUCGGAUCACUCAUCUUGGUGCAGAUAUGCGGAUGAAGCUCAAAGCGGCAUACACAUUGGUUGAGCAGCUAUACUCUAGAUCUCAGCGAGCCAUUAGUACAGCAGCCUAUAACAAACCGGUGCCAACGUGGAUUAAGGAAACCCUUGAGAAGCUGGGCAUGUUACCGGCGCGUAUUGCCGAGUUGAAGAGAGCCGCUGCAAGAGCCGGAGCAUUAACUGCCCUUAUUCGAGCCAAGGCCUGGAUUCCAGAUCUUGAAGCGGAGGAUAUCAUUAAAGGGUAUCCAGACGUUAAAGAAGACAGUUCAAACUUUGACAAUGAUGAUCUUCGGCGGUUGACCAAACAGAUGCGGCCAGCGGCCAGCAAAUUAGCUGAAGACACUGAUUUGUCCCAUUUUCAACCAUUUUAUGAUGCAGAAGGGAAAAGACAGCCGGCCGAGAUCCAUGAAGUCGAAGAACUUGUGCCUCCGAUUCGUAAGCACACUUAUGCCCCUGAUAUUAACCCUUCUAAUCUUAUCCAUGAAGAAGCAGUAUUCCGAGCCUUAACCGGAAUCAAUUGGUCAACGGCUGAUUUCCAGCAGCUGGGGAGGGAUGAAGAAGUGCGUGCACUAACUGAUCCGCAACCGUCAAACCGUCAUGAGGAAGAGUCUUGA
rnacentral:rRNA from 1 species